GAUGAACGCUGGCGGCGUGCCUAAUACAUGCAAGUCGAGCGAACAGACGAGGAGCUUGCUCCUUUGACGUUAGCGGCGGACGGGUGAGUAACACGUGGGUAACCUACCUAUAAGACUGGGAUAACUUCGGGAAACCGGAGCUAAUACCGGAUAAUAUUUCGAACCGCAUGGUUCGAUAGUGAAAGAUGGCUCUGCUAUCACUUAUAGAUGGACCUGCGCCGUAUUAGCUAGUUGGUAAGGUAACGGCUUACCAAGGCAACGAUACGUAGCCGACCUGAGAGGGUGAUCGGCCACACUGGAACUGAGACACGGUCCAGACUCCUACGGGAGGCAGCAGUAGGGAAUCUUCCGCAAUGGGCGAAAGCCUGACGGAGCAACGCCGCGUGAGUAAUGAAGGUCUUCGGAUCGUAAAACUCUGUUAUUAGGGAAGAACAAACGUGUAAGUAACUGUGCACGUCUUGACGGUACCUAAUCAGAAAGCCACGGCUAACUACGUG
rnacentral:rRNA from 1 species